GAUGAACGCUGACAGAAUGCUUAACACAUGCAAGUCUUUGGCGAAGCUGUGCUCGCACAGCCUAGCCAAGGCGGACGGGUGAGUAACGCGUAAGGAACUUGCCCUGCAGUCAGGGAUAACAGACGGAAACGACUGAUAAGACCUGGUAAAGUCAGGCGGACUCAUGUCCAGCCUGAUGAAAAGAGAUGCUGCAGGAGAGCCUUGCGUCCUAUUAGCUUGUUGGUGGGGUAACGGCCCACCAAGGCGAUGAUAGGUAGCCGGCCUGAGAGGGUGGACGGCCACAAGGGGACGGAGAUACGGCCCUUACUCCUACGGGAGGCAGCAGUGGGGAAUAUUGGACAAUGGGGGCAACCCUGAUCCAGCAAUUCUGUGUGCACGAUGAAGGUUUUCGGAUUGUAAAGUGCUUUCAGCAGGGAAGAAAAAAAUGACGUUACCUGCAGAAGAAGCGACGGCUAAAUACGUG
rnacentral:rRNA from 1 species